rnacentral:rRNA from 1 species
CCUACGGGAGGCAGCAGUGGGGAAUAUUGGACAAUGGGCGAAAGCCUGAUCCAGCCAUGCCGCGUGUGUGAAGAAGGUCUUCGGAUUGUAAAGCACUUUAAGCUGGGAGGAAGGGUUGUAGGUUAAUACCCUGCAAUUUUGACGUUACCAGCAGAAUAAGCACCGGCUAACUCUGUGCCAGCAGCCGCGGUAAUACAGAGGGUGCAAGCGUUAAUCGGAAUUACUGGGCGUAAAGCGCGCGUAGGUGGUUUGGUAAGUUGAAUGUGAAAGCCCCGGGCUCAACCUGGGAACUGCAUCCAAAACUGCCUGGCUAGAGUACGGUAGAGGGUGGUGGAAUUUCCUGUGUAGCGGUGAAAUGCGUAGAUAUAGGAAGGAACACCAGUGGCGAAGGCGACCACCUGGACUGAUACUGACACUGAGGUGCGAAAGCGUGGGGAGCA